rnacentral:rRNA from 1 species
AUUGAACGCUGGCGGCAUGCCUUACACAUGCAAGUCGAACGGCAGCAUGGAAGAGCUUGCUCUUCUGAUGGCGAGUGGCGAACGGGUGAGUAAAGCAUCGGAACGUACCGUGUAGUGGGGGAUAACGUAGCGAAAGUUACGCUAAUACCGCAUACGCACUGAGGUGGAAAGCAGGGGAUCGCAAGACCUUGCGCUAUACGAGCGGCCGAUGUCAGAUUAGCUAGUUGGUAGGGUAAAGGCCUACCAAGGCGACGGUCUGUAGCGGGUCUGCGAGGAUGAUCCGCCACACUGGGACUGAGACACGGCCCAGACUCCUGCGGGAGGCAGCAGUGGGGAAUUUUGGACAAUGGGGGAAACCCUGAUCCAGCCAUGCCGCGUGAGUGAAGAAGGCCUUCGGGUUGUAAAGCUCUUUCUGCUGGGAAGAAAUCGCACAGGCUAAUACUCUGUGUGGAUGACGGUACCAGCAUAAGAAGCACCGGCUAACUACGUGCCAGCCGCCGCCGUAACAC